CCUACGGGAGGCAGCAGUGGGGAAUAUUGCACAAUGGGGGAAACCCUGAUGCAGCGACGCCGCGUGAAGGAAGAAGGUUUUCGGAUCGUAAACUUCUAUCAGCAGGGAAGAAAAUGACGGUACCUGACUAAGAAGCCCCGGCUAACUACGUGCCAGCAGCCGCGGUAAU
rnacentral:rRNA from 1 species